rnacentral:rRNA from 1 species
GACGAACGCUGGCGGCGGGCUUAACACAUGCAAGUCGAACGGUGAAGCGCCUUCCUCUUUGGCGGGUGUGGAUGAGUGGCGAACGGGUGAGUAACACGUGAGUAACCUGCUCCCUCCUGCUGGAUAACCGCAGGAAAGUGUGGCUAAUACGGGAUAUUCUGGGCCUGUCGCAUGAUGGGUCUGGGAGAGAUAGUGUGUCGGUGGGGGAUGGGCUCGCGUCGUAUUAGCUGGUUGGUGGGGGGAUGGCCUACCAAGGCGGCGAUGCGUGGCCGGCCGGAGGGGAUGAUCAGCGGCACUACAGGGGAUACACCGCCGACAAUCCUCCGAGGGGAGGCAGUGGUGGGUAUUAGUGCACGAGGGGAGGAAGGCUGAUGCAGCGACGCGGGGUGAGAGAAGGAGGCCGGCUUGUUGUGAACCUCUUUUGCGAGUGAAGAAGGCCUGCCUAGUUUGUGGGUGGGUUGACGGUAGCUGGAUAAGAAGCGCCGGCUAACUACGUG